ACAAUCGAUGGGUUUUCAUGGGUUGGUUCGUCAAUAAUAAAAUUAGUUUAGUUAUUUUUUAUUUAUUAGAGUAAAUUCAAGCCAAUGAUUUUUUUUUUUAUCAUUUUUAAAAACAUAAGUGUGAAUGAUUUUUUUUUUAAAUCUUCGAGUCAGAGAGAUUCAGAGUGUCACGGUCAUGUCCAUCUCAAGGGCACGGAUGUCAUUCCAUGUACACGCGGGGGUCGGAUUUGAAGAUCUUUUGAAAUUUCGAACAGGUGUCAUGUGGAUUGCGUGUCGAUAAUUCUUCAAACGUUUUCUUCCCGAACGAUCGAUUUCAAAGCUUCAGUUCAGUCCGGAAGAUUCAUAAGCAAUUUCUCUGUGUCUCUGAUAUCCGAUCGAAAUACUCCGAACGAGUACAAUGAAUCAGGAUUCGAACCAGGCAGAUCAUCAAUCCCGCCGGGGAAAUCCGCAGCCGGAGGCGGAUCAACCGCCGCCCCAGCAGCAGCAGCAUGGCUCUCACACUGGCGACUCCGCUCUGUACCCUAAGCUCGAUCAAGAAGACGUCUCUCUGCCCGCCGAGGAUUGGACUACGGUCUCUGUUUCCUCGGAACCUCCGCCGCCUCCGCCUUAUCCGGCGGCUGAGCAUCUCCCGAGGGAUUCGUCGCAGCAAGUUCCUGCUGCUCCGGUUCAGCAGGAGUCCGCCACCACCAUGCCGCCCGAGUCCAACCCUUAUGUCGCUCCCUCGCCGUUACCGGCCUCUUCCUCCAAGAAUAAGAUGGAUUCGGUUAAGGAUGUGCUAGGGAAAUGGGGAAAGAAGGCGGCGGAGGCAACUAAGAAGGCCGAGGAUCUUGCUGGCAAUAUGUGGCAGCACUUGAAAACGGGUCCCAGUUUCGCUGAUGCUGCAGUUGGAAGAAUUGCUCAGGGAACAAAAGUUCUUGCAGAAGGUGGAAUUGAGAAGGUCUUUCGACAAACUUUUGAGACUGUUCCUGAGGAGAAACUUUUGAAGUCAUAUGCAUGCUACCUCUCAACUUCAGCAGGUCCAGUCAUGGGGAUAUUAUAUUUGUCUACUGCAAAGCUAGGAUUUUGUAGUGACAAUCCCCUUUCUUACAAAGUUGAUGACCAGACUCAAUGGAGCUAUUAUAAGGACAUAUGGAAACUCUGCUUCUGGAACCAUUGGCAUAGAAUGACUUUGUACGGAUACACAUCAAGUUUUGUCUAGCUGGUCCAUUUGAAAUGAAAUUCGAAUGCAAUAAGAGCUCGAGCUCUACAUUAAAUUUUAUGGCCAUCAAGGCAACCAAAGAAAAUACUUCUCUAAGAAGGUGGUCAAGGAAGCAAACUCACUUGAGGUAUUAGGUCCCUGAACAAAUACCAUAUGAGGGGAAUCCAGUCCCCUUGUACCUCUCUCAUGCGGUCAAGUAUAAAAUUAUGUUCCUUUCAAGUUUUCCCCAGGCUUGACAAGGAUAGGAGUUGCUGAGGUCACAUUCUGGCAGAGAACUACCCUGGUCGUCCUCCCCUCUUACCUUUCUAGUUAGCUGCUGCACCCCCCCCC